AGAGUUUGAUUAUGGCUCAGGACGAACGCUGGCGGCGUGCUUAACACAUGCAAGUCGAGCGAUGAAGUUCCUUCGGGAAUGGAUUAGCGGCGGACGGGUGAGUAACACGUGGGUAACCUGCCUCAUAGAGGGGAAUAGCCUUUCGAAAGGAAGAUUAAUACCGCAUAAGAUUGUAGUAUCGCAUGAUACAGCAAUUAAAGGAGUAAUCCACUAUGAGAUGGACCCGCGUCGCAUUAGCUAGUUGGUGAGGUAACGGCUCACCAAGGCGACGAUGCGUAGCCGACCUGAGAGGGUGAUCGGCCACAUUGGGACUGAGACACGGCCCAGACUCCUACGGGAGGCAGCAGUGGGGAAUAUUGCACAAUGGGGGAAACCCUGAUGCAGCCAACGCCGCGUGAGUGAUGACGGUCUUCGGAUUGUAAAACUCUGUCUUCAGGGACGAUAAUGACGGUACCUGAGGAGGAAGCCACGGCUAACUACGUGCCAGCCGCAGC
rnacentral:rRNA from 1 species